UAAAGUGGCGUACGGGUGAGUAACACGUGGGUGAUCUACCUCUUAGUGAGGAAUAACCCUGGGGAAACCGGGGCUAAUACCGCAUAAGCCUUAGCAGGGAAAGUCGAAAGACGCUGAGAGAGGAGCCCGCGGCCGAUUAGCUAGUUGGUGAGGUAAAAGCCCACCAAGGCAGAGAUCGGUAGCCGGCCUGAGAGGGCACACGGCCACACUGGCACUGAAACACGGGCCAG
rnacentral:rRNA from 1 species